CCCUUAGAUGUUCUGGGCCGCACGCGCGCUACACUGAUGCAUUCAACGAGUCUAAAACCUGGUCUGAUAGGGCUGGGUAAUCUUUUGAAUGUGCAUCGUGAUUGGGAUAGAUGAUUGCAAUUCUUCAUCUUCAACGAGGAAUGCCUAGUAAACGCAAGUCAUCAGCUUGCAUUGAUUACGUCCCUGCCCUUUGUACACACCGCCCGUCGCUCCUACCGAUUGAAUGUUCCGAUGAAUACCAUGGACUGAGAGUAUGAAUGGGUUCGCCUAUUUCUGCUUCUCGGGAAGUGGAGUAAACCUUAACAUUUAGAGGAAGGAGAAGUCGUAACA
rnacentral:rRNA from 1 species